GGAAUUUUGGACAAUGGGCGCAAGCCUGAUCCAGCAAUGCCGCGUGAGUGAAGAAGGCCUUCGGGUUGUAAAGCUCUUUUGUCAGGGAAGAAACGGGUCUUUCUAAUACAGAGAUCUAAUGACGGUACCUGAAGAAUAAGCACCGGCUAACUACGUGCCAGCAGCCGCGGUAAUACGUAGGGUGCAAGCGUUAAUCGGAAUUACUGGGCGUAAAGCGUGCGCAGGCGGUUUUGUAAGACUGUCGUGAAAUCCCCGGGCUCAACCUGGGAAUGGCGAUGGUGACUGCAAGGCUAGAGUUUGGCAGAGGGGGGUAGAAUUCCACGUGUAGCAGUGAAAUGCGUAGAUAUGUGGAGGAACACCGAUGGCGAAGGCAGCCCCCUGGGUCAAAACUGACGCUCAUGCACGAAAGCGUGGGGAGCAAACAGGAUUAGAUACCCCUG
rnacentral:rRNA from 1 species